CCUAUGGGGGGCAGCAGGCGCGAAACCUCCGCAAUGCACGCAAGUGCGACGGGGGGACCCCAAGUGCCACUCUUAACGGGGUGGCUUUUCAGGAGUGUAAAAAGCUCCUGGAAUAAGGGCUGGGCAAGACCGGUGCCAGCCGCCGCGGUAACACCGGCAGCUCGAGUGGUAGCCGCGUUUAUUGGGCCUAAAGCGUCCGUAGCCGGUCCGAUAAGUCUCUGGUGAAAGCCCACAGCUCAACUGUGGGAAUCGCUGGAGAUACUAUCGGACUUGAGGCCGGGAGAGGCUGGAGGUACUCCCAGGGUAGGGGUGAAAUCCUAUAAUCCUGGGAGGACCACCUGUGGCGAAGGCGUCCAGCUGGAACGGACCUGACGGUGAGGGACGAAAGCCAGGGGCGCGAACCGGAUUAGAUACCCCCGUAGUCC
rnacentral:rRNA from 1 species